rnacentral:rRNA from 1 species
UACAGAGGUCGCAAACGUUGUUCGGAUUCAUUGGGCGUAAAGGGUGCGUAGGCGGCGCGGUAAGUCGGGUGUGAAAUCUCGGAGCUUAACUCCGAAACUGCAUUCGAUACUGCCGUGCUUGAGGACUGGAGAGGAGACUGGAAUUUACGGUGUAGCGGUGAAAUGCGUAGAUAUCGUAAGGAAGACCAGUGGCGAAGGCGGGUCUCUGGACAGUUCCUGACGCUGAGGCACGAAGGUCAGGGGAGCAAACGGG